rnacentral:rRNA from 1 species
GACGAACGCUGGCGGCGUGCUUAACACAUGCAAGUCGAACGGAAAGGCUCCAGCUUGCUGGAGUACUCGAGUGGCGAACGGGUGAGUAACACGUGGGUAAUCUGCCCUGCACUCUGGGAUAAGCCUGGGAAACUGGGUCUAAUACUGGAUAUGACCUUUCUCCUUAUGGGGUUUGGUGGAAAGUUUUUCGGUGUAGGAUGAGCCCGCGGCCUAUCAGCUUGUUGGUGGGGUGAUGGCCUACCAAGGCGACGACGGGUAGCCGGCCUGAGAGGGUGAUCGGCCACAUUGGGACUGAGAUACGGCCCAGACUCCUACGGGUGGCAGCAGUGGGGAAUAUUGCACAAUGGGCGGAAGCCUGAUGCAGCGACGCCGCGUGAGGGAUGACGGCCUUCGGGUUGUAAACCUCUUUCAGCAGGGACGAAGCGUAAGUGACGGUACCUGCAGAAGAAGCACCGGCUAACUACGUG